rnacentral:rRNA from 1 species
AUUGAACGCUGGCGGCAGGCCUAACACAUGCAAGUCGAGCGGAGCGGCGGACGGGUGAGUGAUGCCUAGGAAUCUGCCUGGUAGUGAGGGAUAACGUCCGGAACCGGGCGCUAAUACCGCAUACUAUCAGAUGAGCCUAGGUCGGAUUAGCUAGUUGGUGGGGUAAAGGCCUACCAAGGCGACGGUCCGUAACUGGUCUGAGAGGAUGAUCAGUCACACUGGAACUGAGACACGGUCCAGACUCCUACGGGAGGCAGCAGUGGGGAAUAUGGACAAAGGGGGAAAGCCGGAUCCAGCCAUGCCGGGUGUGUGAAGAAGGUCUUCGGAUUGUAAAGCACUUUAAGUUGGGAGGCGUUACCAACAGAAUAAGGACCGGCUAACAUCGGGCCAGCCGCCGCGGUAAUAC